AAAGUCUGGAUCAAAUAACCAUCAGUCCCAGUGAAAAAAGCAUGGCUGAAAAUAAUGAGGCUGCAGACUCUUGUUCAUCAGAGAACGACUCUGAGAGAGAGGAGUCAUCUGAAAAAUCCUAUGAAGAAAAUCUGACCGGAGAGAUGUCAGCGAUUCGGGCCAAACAGCCAAUGACCAAG